GAUGAAGAACUCAGUGAAAUGCGAUAAGUAAUGUGAAUUGCAGAAUUCAGUGAAUCAUCGAAUCUUUGAACGCACAUUGCGCCCGCCAGUAUUCUGGCGGGCAUGCCUGUUCGAGCGUCAUUUCAACCAUCAAGCCCCCGGCUUGUGUUGGGGACCUGCGGCUGCCGCAGGCCCUGAAAAGCAGUGGCGGGCUCGCUGUCACACCGAGCGUAGUAGCAUACAUCUCGCUCUGGGCGUGCUGCGGGUUCCGGCCGUUAAACCACCUUCAUAACCCAAGGUUGACCUCGGAUCAGGUAGGAAGACCCGCUGAACUUAAGCAUAUCAAUAAGCGGAGGA
rnacentral:misc_RNA from 1 species